CUCUGGGAUCAUGACCUGAGCUGAAGCAGAUGCUUAGCUGACUGAGCCACCUAAGUAUCCCUAGCAGGGACUUUAAGAUGCACUAUGUUAACAGAUUUCUGUGAAAAGACUAAGGAGUACUUCUUAAAAAAACAGGAUGAAAGAGUUCAGUAGGAGAAAUGAAAAUUCACAUUUGUCAGUGCUUGCUGAUACUGGAGAUGGGAAAAGCUAAGGCAAACGUUUGGGGUACAGCAGGGUCACUGAGCUAUAGAAACUGAAGGCAUACAAGAAGAGCAGUUAGGACCACUUCCUAAGUAACUGCAAUUUAAAAGCACUGUAGCUUUAAAAUGAUAUACAUAUAAUAGUAUAAGAAUCUAAUAAACAAAAAAUAAUACCUAGCCAUGAUUAAAAAUAAUUAGAAGGUUACAUAAAGGUAUAGAAUUAGAAAUGCAAAAGUUUUCUUCACCCCAACCCACAUUUUAUUUCCUAAAGAUACACCCCUGUAUGAGUUUCAUGGGUAUCCUUUAUGAAUGCUUUAUGAAUAGUAUAUUUAUACGAUCUUGCUUUUACAGAAACAGGAUAGUAUUUACACAUAGUUUGUUCCUUGUCUUUUCAUGUAGUAAUAUUUCUUAGACCUUCUCCCACAUCAGUACCUGUAGACCCCCUUAUUCUUUUUCAGGAGUGUAUAGUUUUCUAUCAAAUACAUCAAACAUCAUUAAUUAAAUCAGUCCCUUCUGAUGAGCACUUAUGUUGUUUUCCAUUUAGGGAAAAGCACAAUGAAGAUCUUCACAUAGGAAUGUGUCCACAGGAUGCAUUCAGCAGUGAAACUGCUUGACGUCUCUAUGAUUUGAUACGAAGGAGAAACUAAUUCAGUACUCAAUGACUUGAAAACAACAUCAAAUAUACUUGGUUAUUCUUGUCCUUCAGCUGCUUUCAAAAUAUUUUCCAAUUGGUAUGACUUUUUUUUUUUUUCAGAGCAAUUCCAACUUUCCAAAAAAUAACUUCUAAACCAUCAGUCUGCACUUUUAAAAACCAACAAAAUGUUCUAUUCCACCAAUACGAAGAAUCAAAAUUGUCUCAUGGAAUCCUAACACAUGGAUUGAAUUGCUUUCAAAUAUGCCAGUCAACAAUAAUAAGAAACAGAAAUGCUGUGGCAACGUCUGGGCCUCUAGCUACCCAGUGUCUGAGCUGAGAAUUAAGAAACGUGGAGCUGUUAAUGACGCGCUGAAAUGUCCUACCAACUCUCUUCCUGGAAACUGGUGAUCUGCUCGGUUCAGAAUGCAUGAGAUGAUCCUCUUGGUUAAGGUGAGGAAAAAUUUGUGACCAGGAGCCUUGGCCCAUUUGCCAUUCAUGCUCCCAUUCCAGUCUUUGCCAGAUUACAGAAUUCCUUGUUAUCUAUGUUUAAUAUAUUUAUUGACUAAUUUACUGCUUU